CCCGUCACGAACGGGACGAAAUGUGGUCAUCGAGGGAGUGUCCCUCCACCGACUGAAUCGCAAG
ncrna:Haloferax mucosum ATCC BAA-1512 eL15-Euryarchaeota ribosomal protein leader